UACGUAGGGUGCGAGCGUUGUCCGGAAUUAUUGGGCGUAAAGAGCUCGUAGGCGGUCUGUCGCGUCUGCUGUGAAAACCCGAGGCUCAACCUCGGGCCUGCAGUGGGUACGGGCAGACUAGAGUGCGGUAGGGGAGAAUGGAACUCCUGGCGUAGCGGUGGAAUGCGCAGAUAUCAGGAAGAACACCGAUGGCGAAGGCAGUUCUCUGGGCCGUAACUGACGCUGAGGAGCGAAAGCGUGGGGAGCGAACAGG
rnacentral:rRNA from 1 species